GACGAACGCUGGCGGCGUGCUUAACACAUGCAAGUCGAACGGAAAGGCCCUGCUUUUGUGGGGUGCUCGAGUGGCGAACGGGUGAGUAACACGUGAGUAACCUGCCCUUGACUUUGGGAUAACUUCAGGAAACUGGGGCUAAUACCGGAUAGGAGCUCCUGCUGCAUGGUGGGGGUUGGAAAGUUUCGGCGGUUGGGGAUGGACUCGCGGCUUAUCAGCUUGUUGGUGGGGUAGUGGCUUACCAAGGCUUUGACGGGUAGCCGGCCUGAGAGGGUGACCGGCCACAUUGGGACUGAGAUACGGCCCAGACUCCUACGGGAGGCAGCAGUGGGGAAUAUUGCACAAUGGGCGGAAGCCUGAUGCAGCAACGCCGCGUGCGGGAUGACGGCCUUCGGGUUGUAAACCGCUUUCGCCUGUGACGAAGCGUGAGUGACGGUAAUGGGUAAAGAAGCACCGGCUAACUACGUGCCAGCAGCCGCGGUGAUACGUAGGGUGCGAGCGUUGUCCGGAUUUAUUGGGCGUAAAGGGCUCGUAGGUGGUUGAUCGCGUCGGAAGUGUAAUCUUGGGGCUUAACCCUGAGCGUGCUUUCGAUACGGGUUGACUUGAGGAAGGUAGGGGAGAAUGGAAUUCCUGGUGGAGCGGUGGAAUGCGCAGAUAUCAGGGGGAACACCAGUGGCGAAGGCGGUUCUCUGGGCCUUUCCUGACGCUGAGGAGCGAAAGCGUGGGGAGCGAACAGGCUUAGACACCCUGGUAGUCCACGCUGUAAACGGUGGGUACUAGGUGUGGGGUCCAUUCCACGGGUUCCGUGCCGUAGCUAAUGCUUUAAGUACCCCGCCUGGGGAGUACGGCCGCAAGGCUAAAACUCAAAGGAAUUGACGGGGCCCCGCACAAGCGGCGGAGCAUGCGGAUUAAUUCGAUGCAACGCGUAGAACCUUACCUGGGUUUGACAUGGAUCGGGAGUGCUCAGAGAUGGGUGUGCCUCUUUUGGGGUCGGUUCACAGGUGGUGCAUGGCUGUCGUCAGCUCGUGUCGUGAGAUGUUGGGUUAAGUCCCGCAACGAGCGCAACCCUUGUUCACUGUUGCCAGCACGUUAUGGUGGGGACUCAGUGGAGACCGCCGGGGUCAACUCGGAGGAAGGUGGGGAUGACGUCAAGUCAUCAUGCCCCUUAUGUCCAGGGCUUCACGCAUGCUACAAUGGCUGGUACAGAGAGUGGCGAGCCUGUGAGGGUGAGCGAAUCUCGGAAAGCCGGUCUCAGUUCGGAUUGGGGUCUGCAACUCGACCUCAUGAAGUCGGAGUCGCUAGUAAUCGCAAAUCAGCAACGCUGCGGUGAAUACGUUCCCGGGGCC
rnacentral:rRNA from 1 species